GAACUGUUAGCUCAGUUGUUUAGGGCAUGGUGCUGAUAGCACCAAGGUUGCAGGUUCAAUCCCUGUAUGGGGCA